GGAUGGGUCCUGCGCGACGGUGCGCUGUGAACCAUGUCAGGCGGGGAACCGAGCAGCAUUAAGCGGCUGUCUCCGUGCGCCGCAGUCCGCCUGUCCGUC
rnacentral:SRP_RNA from 1 species